UUGAAAAUCUUGAGAUCAUCAAAAGCUGUAUAGAAAUGCAAACUUUUUUUACUUUGUUUAAACCUGUGCUUUGAAUGCUGUGAAGAGGGGCAUCCCUGAUGAAGGGCUUAUGCCUGAAAUGUCGAUUCUCCUGCUCCUCGGAUGCUGCCCGACCUGCUGUGCUUUUCCAGCACCACACUCUCAACUCUAAUUUGUGCAACCUCAUCCUGCUUCAACCUGUCCUGAGAGUACCAGGUGGGACAGUUGUAUUCUGUGGCAGAGGCAAGUAAGAAUGAGACUGGUGGCGGUGAAGGUGUUGAAGUGUUACAGAAUGAGCCAUAUGAGAAAGAUGGUGAGAAAGGACAGUACACGCACAAGAUCUACCACCUUCAACGCAAGGUGCCCAAGUUUGUGCAGAUGCUGGCUCCUGAGGGAGCUCUGAACGUGCAUGAGAAGGCUUGGAACGCGUACCCAUACUGCAGAACUGGUGAGUAGAUGCUGUGCAUGG